AGAGUUUGAUCAUGGCUCAGAUUGAACGCUGGCGGCAGGCCUAACACAUGCAAGUCGAGCGGUAGCACAGAAGAGCUUGCUCUUUGGGUGACGAGCGGCGGACGGGUGAGUAAUGUCUGGGAAACUGCCUGAUGGAGGGGGAUAACUACUGGAAACGGUAGCUAAUACCGCAUAACGUCGCAAGACCAAAGUGGGGGACCUUCGGGCCUCAUGCCAUCAGAUGUGCCCAGAUGGGAUUAGCUAGUAGGUGAGGUAAUGGCUCACCUAGGCGACGAUCCUAGCUGGUCUGAGAGGAUGACCAGCCACACUGGAACUGAGACACGGUCCAGACUCCUACGGGAGGCAGCAGUGGGGAAUAUUGCACAAUGGGCGCAAGCCUGAUGCAGCCAUGCCGCGUGUAUGAAGAAGGCCUUCGGGUUGUAAAGUACUUUCAGCGAGGAGGAAGGCGUUAAGGUUAAUAACCUUGGCGAUUGACGUUACUCGCAGAAGAAGCACCGGCUAACUCCGUGCCAGCAGCCGCGGUAUACGGAGGGUGCAAGCGUUAAUCGGAAUUACUGGGCGUAAAGCGCACGCAGGCGGUCUGUCAAGUCGGAUGUGAAAUCCCCGGGCUCAACCUGGGAACUGCAUCCGAAACUGGCAGGCUAGAGUCUUGUAGAGGGGGGUAGAAUUCCAGGUGUAGCGGUGAAAUGCGUAGAGAUCUGGAGGAAUACCGGUGGCGAAGGCGGCCCCCUGGACAAAGACUGACGCUCAGGUGCGAAAGCGUGGGAGCAAACAGGAUUAGAUACCCUGGUAGUCCACGCUGUAAACGAUGUCGACUUGGAGGUUGUUCCCUUGAGGAGUGGCUUCCGGAGCUAACGCGUUAAGUCGACCGCCUGGGGAGUACGGCCGCAAGGUUAAAACUCAAAUGAAUUGACGGGGGCCCGCACAAGCGGUGGAGCAUGUGGUUUAAUUCGAUGCAACGCGAAGAACCUUACCUACUCUUGACAUCCAGAGAACUUAGCAGAGAUGCUUUGGUGCCUUCGGGAACUCUGAGACAGGUGCUGCAUGGCUGUCGUCAGCUCGUGUUGUGAAAUGUUGGGUUAAGUCCCGCAACGAGCGCAACCCUUAUCCUUUGUUGCCAGCGGUUCGGCCGGGAACUCAAAGGAGACUGCCAGUGAUAAACUGGAGGAAGGUGGGGAUGACGUCAAGUCAUCAUGGCCCUUACAGUAGGGCUACACACGUGCUACAAUGCAUAUACAAAGAGAAGCGACCUCGCGAGAGCAAGCGGACCUCAUAAAGUAUGUCGUAGUCCGGAUCGGAGUCUGCAACUCGACUCCGUGAAGUCGGAAUCGCUAGUAAUCGUGGAUCAGAAUGCCACGGUGAAUACGUUCCCGGCCUUGUACACACCGCCCGUCACACCAUGGGAGUGGGUUGCAAAAGAAGUAGGUAGCUUAACCUUCGGGAGGGCGCUUACCACUUUGUGAUUCAUGACUGGGGUGAAGUCGUAACAAGGUAACCGUAGGGAACCUGCGGUUGGAUCACCU
rnacentral:rRNA from 1 species